UCAGUGUGUAAUGCCUAUGGGCCUCGAGUCUCCGCUGACCUUUGCUGCACUGAGAAAGGCACAGCUGAGAACGUCUCUUGGUGUUGCUUCUGGUCACUCCUGCUGACUUAUGCCGAGGCUGAGGCCUGGCUGUCUCUGCUAGGUCAUCCCACCACUACUGAUUUAUGUUUGCUAUCCUGACUGAACCGGACUGCUGGUUAUCUAUGAAGUGUUUGAGCGUAUCGAGCUGCCGCUGUUGACCUGUGAGAGGAGCUGCACAUUUCCAGACAACACAAAUGGGAUUCGCUCCAAAGAACCACUUACACAGGAAAGUGAAGUUCAGGAAGAAAAUGCUGCAUACAGAAGCAAAAUGGUCGUUGCCAGCGCUUUGGAGACUCCCUUUGAAUGUGAUCCCGAGGGCGGACAGACGUCAGAACAUAAACUCAAACACUGGAGGAAAAAAAAAACACAAAUAGAAGGAGAUUAUUUUUAGCCUCAUUAUUUCCUAACAAAUCAGUUCUGAGAGCUUUACUUGGAAUUAUAAAACAGUAUGUUCAUAUUAUGUAAAGUUUUGAAAAUAAAAAAAAAAAAAACA
rnacentral:lncRNA from 1 species